rnacentral:rRNA from 1 species
AUUGAACGCUGGCGGCAGGCCUAACACAUGCAAGUCGAACGAGUGGCGGACGGGUGAGUAAUGUCUGGGAAACUGCCCGAUGGAGGGGGAUAACUACUGGAAACGGUAGCUAAUACCGCAUACCAUCGGAUGUGCCCAGAUGGGAUUAGCUAGUAGGGGGGGUAACGGCUCACCUAGGCGACGAUCCCUAGCUGGUCUGAGAGGAGAGCCAGCCACACGGGAACUGAGACACGUGCCAGACUCCUACGGGAGGCAGCAGUGGGGAAUAUUGCACAAGGGGCGCAAGCCUGAUGCAGCCAGGCCGAGUGUAUGAAGAAGGCCUGCGGGUUGUAAAGUACUUUCAGCGAGGAGGCGUUACUCGCAGAAGAAGCACCGGCUAACUCCGUGCCAGCAGCCGCGGUAAUAC